rnacentral:ncRNA from 2 species
AUGCUGACGCCCGAUCGAGGUUCUUCGGGUUCCGCCCGAAGCUAAGAGGGAAUUCGGUGAGGCCUUCCAUGCCGAAGCCGAAGCUGCCCCCGCAACUGUGAGCGGCGAGCCCUUCGUCCAUCGUCCACUGGUGCCGUCAGGCGCCGGGAAGGCCGGACGGAACAGGCCCAGACCCGCGAGCCAGGAGACCUGCCCCGGUCGAAGUCGACGU